rnacentral:lncRNA from 1 species
UAAUAGACCCCAAAGAAAAAUGAGAAGAUUACUAUCAUAUUCUUCCCAAUGGUGAGUUUUCUCUUGACAUAUUAUUAUCUCUACUGUCUCUAAUUGAGAGUUAUAUUUCAAAUAGACUCCAAGAUCAUAUAGAUAGUGCUGGUAGAUAUACUCAGCAAGUGGAUGAGCACAACCCUGUCUUAUGAUGACUCGAGGUUGUAUGUCAUUAAACAUCUUGUAUAAUAGUGACAAAACACCCUUCCAAAGUUGAAUUCACC